rnacentral:lncRNA from 1 species
GAGACUCUCUGGAGGAACCAUCAUCAACAUAUGUUGGCGAGUCGAGAUUCCAGGUAUGAUUUUGCUCUCUCUCAAAAGCCCCUCUUGUUCCUUCAUUGUUUCUGUCAACCUGCAUUGUGUAUAGUUUUGGGGGGUUAAUCAACAAAUGCGUGUCAAAUUAUUUCCCCCUUUUUUCUCUUAAAUUGUUCAUUAGAAAACAUUUUCUCUUACCUGAUCCAAGAGAAUGUCAUCAAAGAGGGUUGGCUUCCAUGGAUCCAAGAGAAUAUCAUGAAAAGUUGUUGUUUGUGCAUCCAGAUCCUCCAAUUGCACUGGAGAAUUGUCUUGGUCUUCAACAAAGUCACCCAACAUGCAUAAAU